GGAUGUACCAUUUUUGUUCAUCCGAGAAAAAAGGGUAAAAGGAUACUAUUUCUUAGGUUGCUUUCAUUUUUUUCUUUUCCCUUCUUUUUCUCCUACUUGUUGCAUGUGCAGGCACAUGAAACCACUAAAACUCCAUCUCACUUGAAACUUUUUUUCUAUUUUUCAAGGAACAUCGACACCUGUGUUUCAGUUCUCGGCACAUAGUUAUUGGAUUCCAGCUUGCAAGUGGCACAAUACGUCUCCUUUUCAUUUACUUUCUUCAUCUUAUGAUGGGAAAGUAAUGUUGUGGGAUCUAAGAACAGCGGAAAAACCAACUACACUAGAUUGCGGUCCA